GACGAACGCUGGCGGCGUGCUUAACACAUGCGAGUCGAACGGAAAGGCCCUGCUUGCCGGGUACUCGAGUGGCGAACGGGUGAGUAACACGUGGGUGAUCUGCCCUGCACUUCGGGAUAAGCCUGGGAAACUGGGUCUAAUACCGGAUAGGAGCCAUUUUUAGUGUGAUGGUUGGAAAGUUUUUUCGGUGUAGGAUGAGCUCGCGGCCUAUCAGCUUGUUGGUGGGGUAAUGGCCUACCAAGGCGGCGACGGGUAGCCGGCCUGAGAGGGUGGACGGCCACAUUGGGACUGAGAUACGGCCCAGACGCCUACGGGAGGCAGCAGUGGGGAAUAUUGCACAAUGGGCGCAAGCCUGAUGCAGCGACGCCGCGUGGGGGAUGACGGCCUUCGGGUUGUAAACUCCUUUCGCUAGGGACGAAGCUUUUUGUGACGGUACCUAGAUAAGAAGCACCGGCUAACUACGUG
rnacentral:rRNA from 1 species